UACGUAGGGGGCUAGCGUUGUCCGGAAUCAUUGGGCGUAAAGCGCGUGUAGGCGGCCCGGUAAGUCCGCUGUGAAAGUCGGGGGCUCAACCCUCGGAUGCCGGUGGAUACUGUCGGGCUAGAGUGCGGAAGAGGCGAGUGGAAUUCCUGGUGUAGCGGUGAAAUGCGCAGAUAUCAGGAGGAACACCAAUUGCGAAGGCAGCUCGCUGGGACAUGACUGACGCUGAGACGCGAAAGCGUGGGGAGCAAACGGG
rnacentral:rRNA from 1 species